rnacentral:rRNA from 1 species
UACGUAGGGUGCGAGCGUUGUCCGGAAUUAUUGGGCGUAAAGAGCUCGUAGGCGGUCUGUCGCGUCGGCUGUGAAAGCCCGGGGCUCAACCCCGGGUCUGCAGUCGAUACGGGCAGGCUAGAGUGCGGUAGGGGAGACUGGAAUUCCUGGUGUAGCGGUGAAAUGCGCAGAUAUCAGGAGGAACACCGGUGGCGAAGGCGGGUCUCUGGGCCGUAACUGACGCUGAGGAGCGAAAGCGUGGGGAGCGAACAGG